GGGUGCAGUGGUGCACACUUGUAAUCCCAGCUAUUUGGGAAAUGGAGGCAGGAGGAUCACAAGUUCAAGGCCAGCUUGAGCAACUUAGUGAGACCCUGUCUCAA
rnacentral:sRNA from 1 species